UACGGGGGGGGCAAGCGUUGUUCGGAAUUACUGGGCGUAAAGGGUCUGUAGGUGGCCAACUAAGUCAGACGUGAAAUCCCUCAGCUUAACUGGGGAACUGCGUCUGAUACUGGUCGGCUUGAGUGCAGGAGAGGAACGCGGAAUUCCAGGUGUAGCGGUGAAAUGCGUAGAUAUCUGGAGGAACACCGGUGGCGAAGGCGGCGUUCUGGCCUGUUCUUGACGCUGAGGCGCGAAAGCUAGGGGAGCAAACGGG
rnacentral:rRNA from 1 species